GACGGCCAGUAGCAAAAGCAGGAGUAAAGAUGAAUCCAAAUCAAAAGAUAAUAACGAUUGGCUCUGUUUCUCUCACAAUUUCCACAAUAUGCUUCUUCAUGCAAAUUGCCAUCCUGAUAACUACUGUAACAUUGCAUUUCAAGCAAUAUGAAUUCAACUCCCCCCCAAAUAACCAAGUGAUGCUGUGUGAACCAACAAUAAUAGAAAGAAACAUAACAGAGAUAGUUAUUGUGCCAGCAGCUGCGGUUAGACUUUAAGGUUAAGUGAAGAAGUAUUGAGUUUAAUUAGAUGARGUAUAGUUUAUAAAAUAAUUAAGAGAGAAAAAAGUGAAAUUAGAAUUCUUUUUUUAAUAAUAUUAUAGUAAACUUGAGUCGAAGUUAGUAAGUAUUAGGUUUAAACUAGGAUUAGAUACCCUAUUAUACUAAUAAAAUGUAUAUUACUCAGAUUAUUAGAAGUUAUGUUCUUGAAAUUCGAAGAAUUUGGCGGUGAUUUAGUCUUGUUAGAGGAACCUGUUUUUGAAUCGAUACACCACGUAAAAUCUUACUCAUUUUAGUAAUAAAGUUUAUAUACCGUCAUUAUCAGAUGAUUUUCUAAGAAUAAAUUAUUAAGUUUUUAUCAAAAAAGUUAAAUUAGAUCAAGGUGUAGCUAAUAAAUGAGUUAAAAUGGGUUACAAUAAAAUUUAUUUAAUACGAAAUAAUUAAAGAAAGAAGAAUUAUGAAGGAGGAUUUAAUUGUAAUUAAAGUAUAAUAAGCUUUAAAGAUAUAAGCUCUAAAUCAUGUACAUAUCGCCCGUCGCUUUCAUUUUAUAGAUGAGAUAAGUCGUAACAAA
rnacentral:rRNA from 1 species